UCGAGUUCGGUGCCCUCUGGGUGCCCACUCCCACCAAAUGUGAAUCGUUUAACCGUUGCUUUGGCGGACCGGCCUCGUGCCCCUCGGCUCCGGCUAGGGAGCGUCCGCCAGAGGAUUUUUAAACUCGCUUAACCGUGACAUCCGAGUAUCUUUAAACAAGUCA
rnacentral:misc_RNA from 1 species